UGGCUCAGCGGUUAAGAGCACUGGUUGCUCUUCCAGAGGUCCUGAGUUCAAUUCUCAG
rnacentral:tRNA from 1 species